rnacentral:misc_RNA from 1 species
GGCGUAUGUCGGCUCCUCUCAAAUGAAUUAGCUAUGGAUCGCGAUGUGGUAUGAUCUAAAGUGUGAUACAUGUCUACGCUGAAGAUCGGCCAUGCAGACUGCUUUGGCGGUUGAGCGAAUACAGAGCUCCUAAUCGUCCGCGAGGACAAUCUUAUCUGACAUCUGACCUCAAAUCAGGUAGGACUACCCGCUGAACUUAA